rnacentral:rRNA from 1 species
AGAUUGAACGCUAGCGGGAUGCUUUACACAUGCAAGUCGAACGGCAGCGCGGACUUCGGUCUGGCGCGAGUGGCGAACGGGUGAGUAAUAUAUCGGAACGUGCCCAGUAGCGGGGGAUAACUACGCGAAAGCGUGGCUAAUACCGCAUACGCCCUACGGGGGAAAGGGGGGAUUCUUCGGAACCUCUCACUAUUGGAGCGGCCGAUAUCAGAUUAGCUAGUUGGUGAGGUAAAGGCUCACCAAGGCGACGAUCUGUAGCUGGUUUGAGAGGACGACCAGCCACACUGGGACUGAGACACGGCCCAGACUCCUACGGGAGCAGCAGGUGGGUAAUUUGGACAAGUCGGGGGAAACCUGACUACCAGCCACGUCCCGCGUGUCGAGAGUAGAACGGUCCGUUACGGGUUACGUAAA